CCUACGGGAGGCAGCAGUGAGGAAUAUUGGUCAAUGGGCGAGAGCCUGAACCAGCCAAGUCGCGUGAAGGAUGACGGCCCUACGGGUUGUAAACUUCUUUUGUCAGGGAGCAAUUGAGUCCACGUGUGGGCUUAGCGAGAGUACCUGAAGAAAAAGCAUCGGCUAACUCCGUGCCAGCAGCCGCGGUAAUACGGAGGAUGCGAGCGUUAUCCGGAUUGAUUGGGUUUAAAGGCUGCGUAGGCGGAAUGUCAAGUCAGCGGGAAAACUUCGGGGCUCAACCCAGUCGUGCCGUUGAAACUGAUAGUCUUGAGUGGGCGAGAGGUAUGCGGAAUGCGUGGUGUAGCGGUGAAAUGCAUAGAUAUCACGCAGAACUCCGAUUGCGAAGGUAGCAUACCGGCGCCCAACUGACGCUGAAGCACGAAAGCGUGGGUAUCGAACAGGAUUAGAUACCCUAGUAGUC
rnacentral:rRNA from 1 species